GCUAGUUUUUACCUUCACCUUAGGGACAUCUACCUCCAGGCCUUCGGGGGGCGCUGCAGUGAGCUCCAGGUCUUCCAUCUCUGACUGGAUCACUUAGCUCUCCAGUUCUGCCUUCUGCACUCUUCCACACCUGAGUCUGCAGGCAGCCAUGGUGAGGACAAAGGCAAGAUUCUCCGCUAACCCCAUCACUCGGGAUGCUUUUUGAGGGAGGCGGGAGAGAUUCAGAUAUAGAUUAUUG
rnacentral:lncRNA from 1 species